rnacentral:rRNA from 1 species
AUUGAACGCUGGCGGCAGGCCUAACACAUGCAAGUCGAGCGGAGCGGCGGACGGGUAAGUAAUGCCUAGGAAUCUGCCUGGUGGUGGGGGAUAACGUCCGGAAACGGGCACUAAUACCGCAUACGUGCAGAUGAGCCUAGGUCGGUUUAGCUAGUGGGGGGGGUAAAGGCCUCCCAGGGCGAUGAGCCGUAACUGGUCUGAGAGGAUGAUCAGUCACACUGGCACUGAGACACGGUCCAGACGCCCACGGGAGGCAGGAGUGGGGAAUAUUGGACAAUGGGCGAAAGCCUGAUCACGCCAUGCCGCGUGUGUGAAGAAGGUUUUCGGAUUGUAAAGCACUUAAAGUUGGGAGGCGUUACCAACAGAAUAAGCACCGGCUAACUUCGUGCCAGCAGCCGCGGUAAUUC